GCAAGUCGAACGCUUCUUUUCCCACCGGAGCUUGCUCCACCGGGAAAAGAGGAGUGGCGAACGGGUGAGUAACACGUGGGUAACCUGCCCAUCAGAAGGGGAUAACACUUGGAAACAGGUGCUAAUACCGUAUAACAAUCGAAACCGCAUGGUUUCGUUUUGAAAGGCGCUUUACGGUGCCGCUGAUGGAUGGACCCGCGGUGCAUUAGCUAGUUGGUGAGGUAACGGCUCACCAAGGCCACGAUGCAUAGCCGACCUGAGAGGGUGAUCGGCCACAUUGGGACUGAGACACGGCCCAAACUCCUACGGGAGGCAGCAGUAGGGAAUCUUCGGCAAUGGACGAAAGUCUGACCGAGCAACGCCGCGUGAGUGAAGAAGGUUUUCGGAUCGUAAAACUCUGUUGUUAGAGAAGAACAAGGGUGAGAGUAACUGUUCACCCCUUGACGGUAUCUAACCAGAAAGCCACGGCUAACUACGUGCCAGCAGCCGCGGUAAUACGUAGGUGGCAAGCGUUGUCCGGAUUUAUUGGG
rnacentral:rRNA from 1 species